rnacentral:rRNA from 1 species
UACGUAGGGCGCAAGCGUUGUCCGGAUUUAUUGGGCGUAAAGAGCUCGUAGGCGGUCCGUCACGUCGGCUGUGAAAACCCGAGGCUCAACCUCGGGCCUGCAGUCGAUACGGGCAGACUAGAGUGCGGUAGGGGAGACUGGAAUUCCUGGUGUAGCGGUGAAAUGCGCAGAUAUCAGGAGGAACACCGAUGGCGAAGGCAGGUCUCUGGGCAUUAACUGACGCUGAGGAGCGAAAGCCAUGGGGAGCGAACAGG